rnacentral:lncRNA from 1 species
CCGCAACACCCGGGUACGGUCCGGGUCCGGACCGGACGGGUAUUUUUACCACCUCUAGCUCAAAACAACUAGCAAUACACGAUUUUAUUGUUAUAAACAUAUUUUUGUCUUUUUACACUAAUAAGAGUCAUUAAAAAAAAAUUGAUGUCGUCACUCAUGACAAUUACUAAAUAGUCUUCACUCAAAUCAUAAACUUUUUUUUUUUUUUUAACCAAAAGCAAUUGUGUGGUACAAUUUCUUAAAUUUGUUAUUUAUAUUUUUCAAUUUUCUUAACAAAUUUUUAGAAGAAUAAACAUGCUCAAUCUAUUUGAAAGAAUCAAAGAAACAUUGCUAGAUUACAAUUGUUGUCAUUUUGAAGGAAUUAUUAAGUGUCGGAAACAACUUGACGCUUAUUUUGCGGUGGACAAACAAUAGAAUCAGAAACGAUAAAUGAGUUAUGGUAAUGUUUGAUUGUUUAGUAAUGAUAAUCCUCAGGGUGCAUUUGUUAUUAUUUUUCAAUUAGUGUUUUUAAAUCUUUUUUAGAAAGGAAAAUAAUGUUUUUGAUGUCAUAUUCUUAAACAUAAAAAUGUCUUGGGCAGA